GAUGGGCUCGCGGCCUAUCAGCUUGUUGGUGGGGUGAUGGCCUACCAAGGCGACGACGGGUAGCCGGCCUGAGAGGGCGACCGGCCACACUGGGACUGAGACACGGCCCAGACUCCUACGGGAGGCAGCAGUGGGGAAUAUUGCACAAUGGGCGGAAGCCUGAUGCAGCGACGCCGCGUGAGGGAUGACGGCCUUCGGGUUGUAAACCUCUUUCAGCAGGGACGAAGCGUAAGUGACGGUACCUGCAGAAGAAGCGCCGGCCAACUACGUGCCAGCAGCCGCGGUAAGACGUAGGGCGCGAGCGUUGUCCGGAUUUAUUGGGCGUAAAGAGCUCGUAGGCGGCUUGUCGCGUCGACUGUGAAAACCCGCGGCUCAACCGCGGGCCUGCAGCCGAUACGGGCAGGCUAGAGUUCGGUAGGGGAGACUGGAAUUCCUGGUGUAGCGGUGAAAUGCGCAGAUAUCAGGAGGAACACCGGUGGCGAAGGCGGGUCUCUGGGCCGAUACUGACGCUGAGGAGCGAAAGCGUGGGGAGCGAACAGGAUUAGAUACCCUGGUAGUCCACGCUGUAAACGUUGGGCGCUAGGUGU
rnacentral:rRNA from 1 species